UCUCCUGCCGCUAUGAAAAUGCCGUUUUAAAAGUAUUUCCCUGUUGAGCUGUAAGCAACGUCUUUGUGGUCUUUCACUCUGAGCUUGACUAAUGAUUGCUUUGCCAAGACAUUUAACCCCAGACUAUCUGUCUUCUCGCUAAGGAUAGAAAAGUCUCUGAACCAUGAAAUAGAACCAGUUGUACUCCACAAUGGUUAUAGAGUUUUCACCAUGCGCCAGAAUAAAUACUUUAGAUUCGGUUAUUAAAGUAGGAAUCCGCAGGUCGUGGGUGACCCCAAAAUAAAAAAAAGGAUCAAUCCAGAAACACUGGAAUUAAUUUUGAAAGGUGGAAGAGUGACGCUGAAAUGGCCACCGUUCUCAUGGAUUGGUAGCCAACAACCCCCACAGACUCGGACUCGUCCCUUCUAUCCCACUACCAACCAAGCAAGAGUUUCUCCAGGAACAUUUCGUUCAAAAGAAUGGCAAACAUUACUCUCAUUACAACAUCAACACUGCCUGAGUAACAGAACCAUGGAUGACUUGGCCUACUUCCUGCAUGUUAAAAAACUAAACACAUAAAUCUCUGUUAUGUAAAAAUCCAUGUUUUUAUUUUAAUUCACAAUUAAAAACGUUACAAGGUAAAAGUGACUGUUUAAUAAAAAAUGGGACAAUUACAAUGACACCUGAACACAUGUAGAACUUACAUCACACGUACAAGGCAGGACAUAUAAAGCUAGUUACCAGCUCCCAGGAAAAAAUGCCUACAUGGUGCCGCAGAGAAUCACGGAAAGAGGCUAGUACUCGCCACACACAGCAUCUUGGAAUGACGACCGUGUUGACAGGUCCCACACCUCCAGGCCACAAAUUGUUAUGCGCUGCUCCUGGUUCCCACAUUUUACCCCCUACUAGGUGGUCAUCAGAGCCUGUAUGACAUCAAUGUAUCCUACGGCCCAGCUACAGAGCUUCAAUUCUCAAUGGCGCGUUCAUUCUAUCUUGUGAAUUGAAAUAAUGAGAAAUAAAGUUGAUUUGAUUGGUUUCUGGUGUAUCAGGUAGAAUGUCACGUUGACACAAUGCUGAUGACGACACAUGUAGUGUAGCUGAAGGGUUGUUCA